CGGAAAGCGGGAUAUAGAUACGGAUCAGGACAAAAGUGACUUCAUCUUAGUUGCAAUGUACCUGUUUUAUCCUAAGCUAAUAUUAAAAGGAGACACAUUCUUGGAGCCAAGAUCCUGUUGGUAACUCCAGGGCACCAUGGGAGGCUGUUCAGAUAUGCAAAUUGUGUUGUCUCAGUAUACUCCCAGGGGUGCCUGGCUGGGAUCCCUAGGACAAAACAAACGUACAUAACAUAAACUUUUAAGUGACAAAGAGAGCUUUCUAAGGAAAUGAAGACUCCUCUGGAAGAAACCAGGAAAUGCGUGCGCUCUAAUGACUCGAUGAAGACAGGACAGUCAUAAAGAAAUGGGGCACAGGCGAGACAGUUACCGCAUGAGGAUCUUCAGGGGAGAAGAAAAGAGAAGGUACACAAGUAUGUGUCUGAGAUUUGGCACCCUGCUUUAGGGGAUGGCAGUAGGGGCAGAGUGAGAGAGGACUCCACGCUCCUGCUCUUCUCAAAUUCCACAGCACUCUAUUUUGGUGUUGUCAUGUGGGUAUGAAAAUGCCUUCUUUUGUGCUUAUAUUAUGGUUUGGACAAGUCUUGUACUAAAAGCUCAAGUUGAGAGUUAAUUCCUCAGUGGAGCACUGUGAACUUGUGGUGCCUUUGGGAGGUGAUUACAUCAUGGAACAUCAGCAUUAAGAAUAGAAUUAAUGUCUUUCUUGAGACACUGAGUUAGCUCUUGUAGGAGUGAGGCAGCUCUAAUGGGAACAGAUGAGUUACCGUUAGAGCAGGUUGUUAGAAAGUCAGAUCUCCCCGCUGCUUUCGCCUAUCCCACGCGCAUCAGUUGGCCACUUCCACACACACUUUCUCUAGGCAUUGUUGUAUGUCAUACAGUCACAUAGCAGUAGACCUUUGCCACUCAAUAUACAGCAUCUCUGACCCCAGAAUUUGAUUAUAUGAAUGUCUUUUGUUUAGUGUCAGGGAUUCUUUUCUUUUUUUCUGGACUUGGGUAAAAAUCAAAGAAUUCUUCACAAUCACCCCAAAAACCACUUGCAUCCAACUGCAGUGAGAAUGAAACGAAGACCCAUUUAGCAGAUGUGAGCUCCCCAAGAGCAAAGCUUUUGUGGGAUUCAUCUACCUCCAGAGAGAACAUUACUGACAGUGGGAGCUCACACAGGCAUUGCUCACAAAGAGAGGUUAUCUGUUAACUCACUAACACCUGAACGAAGACCAGGUGAGACCAGGCGCUUUAAUACCUGUUUCACAGACAAAAACACAGGAUCUGCAAGCUGUGUCACUGUGAUCAAGUCACACAGCUGUGAAAAGAGACAGCCAGGGUUUGUGGUGGAAUAACCAGUUGCAGCACAAAGAUUUUCCCAGCGUAUUAACUGCUCAUGAAGUGUUGAAUAAGACAAAAAGUUGUGUGUGCAUUCUCCCAGCUGUGGAAGGAAACACAAGAUUGCCAUAUUUGACUCUUAAAACUAUCUGUCCCUGAUGCUUUUCAGCCGUGGUGGAGCCACCCAUUUUCACUGUCAUUCUCUAGAAGUAACCGGAUACAAUUAUGCUAUGAUGAUGAUUAAAAUUAAUCAUAAUUAAAUCAUUUUCAUUGGUUGUGUAAGCUUUUGAAGUAUCUUCAUUUUAAAGAGUUUAUUUAUUGCUAUCCAAGAGGACUCAGUUACUCAGAGUUGGAAAGAUUUUG